rnacentral:rRNA from 1 species
UACGGGGGGGGCAAGCGUUGUUCGGAAUUACUGGGCGUAAAGGGUUUGUAGGUGGCUUGUUAAGUCAGACGUGAAAUCCCUCAGCUUAACUGGGGAACUGCGUCUGAGACUGGGAAGCUUGAGUGCAGGAGAGGAACGCGGAAUUCCAGGUGUAGCGGUGAAAUGCGUAGAUAUCUGGAGGAACACCGGUGGCGAAGGCGGCGUUCUGGACUGUAACUGACACUGAAAGACGAAAGCCAGGGGAGCAAACGGG